CCCAUGCAAAUAAAAUGAGAGUGCGUACUUGUCAACAGGAAUAUGCACUUUCAGUUCUGCUGCGGUGAUUCAGUUUGGAGGCCACAUGAGGUCAGGUGAGGCAGAUGUUGGUGAGCUGCAGAAGUCCUCUGCUCCACCACCAGCACGUGCGUCACUUUUAUAAACCAGCUCAGUGGGUUCAUAAUCUGGAUGUCUGCUUGACUUCCAGGCUUUUAGAAAAUGUGUUGAGUUGUUUGGAAAAGGCAUAAGCGCCUAGAUCACGCCAAGUGCGCACCGCGCGCCUUUACGCGUGCGUGUACGCGCAGGGUGGUGCCACUAACUGUAAUUAUGUGGCAGAAAGCUCCUCCUCCGUCCAUUUUUAAUCUCUUAUAUCCGCUAAUGCUGCGGCAGACAUUUACCACAAGCAGCGGGCAGCUAACGCGGGCUAACGCGCAGGAGGUCUGAGCCGGGAUCCUGCGCGUUUGGGAAUAUUCCACCGACUUCCGGGAGACUGCUGUCCCGUCGGGAAACACCCGGACCCUGCGAGGGCUCGGCCGCAGACGGAACACCUGUGCAGACACACACGCAGGUAAAGGAACGCAGCGGGACACGUCCCGGUUCUCAUCAUAAUCCUGUCUUAUGAAUGCGUUUUUUAUUCACGCUUUUAAUUCAUGAGUUGAUCAGGUUAGUGCAGGAAUUUUCAAAUUAAAAGCAUUACAUACAUAUAAGAGCACCUGUGCAGGUAAGUGUUGGACAACUUUCUGCAGUUGAUCAGCCUUUUUCCUGCUGGUUAUUAACCUUUGACCUAACCUUUUAUUUGAAAAGCAGUUCGUGAUAACAUCAAACUGAAACAGUGACAUGAAUCUGUGAAAGUCUUAAACCAACAAAUAGUUUUUAAAAGACUCUCAGAAAUGGAGACAAACCAGUCCAACUACAGGACACACCUCUGUGGUUGCGGCUGUCUGUCCUGAGACUGUUUCCUCCUUCAGAGCAUCAGCAUGGCCGGUUCUGGGGAUACAGAGGGAUCUUUGACCCCCGUGGAUUUCAUCCAGCUGCAACAUUACAUGGAAGAAAGCACUUUGAGAGUUAAAGAUGUGAUCAAGGAGUUUCGUCCAGGAGGCCGUCUGUCCCAGCAUAGUUUUGGAGAAGUGAGUGGACAGUUUCCUAAGAGUCACGCUUUUAGAUUUAUUACACAAACAUGCUCUCAAUUAUCAAUUGUUAAAAGAGUGAAGCUCGU
rnacentral:lncRNA from 1 species